rnacentral:rRNA from 1 species
AUGGAUAGCUUAUUUGCUUUGUUGUAUAUACUUUGUAGUUUCAAUGAUGAGACAUAUAUGUCAACUAUGGGUGUUGGCUCCAACAAUUCUCAUUGGUCUCAAACCAGUGAUGUGCAUUUCGAUGAUCAUGAGUUUGGGGUGGACGAGGAUGGUGAGGGUAUCGUCGAUGCACCUAAAGGAAGAGCGGGCAACUACACCAUGAGCGAAGACAUCUUGCUAUGCAAUACAUGGUUGCAAGUGUCGAGGGAUGCCACCGUUGGAUGGGAUCAAAUAGAGAUGCAUAUUAGAUCCAGAUGA